AAAAAGUCCGCUGAACCCAUUAGGGUGGAUGGUUUGACACACUAAUAAAUCCUUGUUCCUUAAGAAUAAAUUUAGAAGAACUCGUCUUUUUCAACUCAAAUUUCAUCUUCCUCUCCCACUACCCCAAAGAGAAAAAUUCCCAUGGCAACGUCAGCAACAAGAAGAACGAGUCUUCAAACCCGUCUCUUUCCUCUUCCGUACGCAUAAAAUAGAAACCCAUCUCUUUUUGUUCGUACCAAUUCCAUUAAAACCCAAACUUAUUACCCAUCUUUUUAUCUGCUCGUGUUAUUCAUGUUGGUUGAUGAUGAAAAUGUUCCAUAGGUAAAUCUGAG
rnacentral:lncRNA from 1 species